GUCCACGCCGUAAACGAUGUCUACUUGGAGGUUGUGGCCUUGAGCCGUGGCUUUCGGAGCUAACGCGUUAAGUAGACCGCCUGGGGAGUACGGUCGCAAGAUUAAAACUCAAAUGAAUUGACGGGGGCCCGCACAAGCGGUGGAGCAUGUGGUUUAAUUCGAUGCAACGCGAAGAACCUUACCUACUCUUGACAUCCAGAGAAGCCAGCGGAGACGCAGGUGUGCCUUCGGGAGCUCUGAGACAGGUGCUGCAUGGCU
rnacentral:rRNA from 1 species